GUGUGUGCUGUACUCCAGGAGAGUCGGGAGCAGGAGCUGGAGUGUCAGCUGGAGGCGUUGCGCUGGGGAGCCCUGCAGGGGGCGCUGGAGGAGGCCAGCCACAUCAUCCAGGACUCACUCACACAGAUAGACGACCCAUCACACAUCAGCUGCACCAGCUCGGCCGGUCAGUACAGAGUAGAGAAGUAUACACGACAUUAGUAUGCAUAACAUUAGUACAUUAAGGACUCACUCACACAGAUAGACAACCCCGCACACAUCAGCUGCACCAGCUCGGCCGACUACCUUCUGUCCAGGUGCCAGGCAGCACUGGAAUGCGUGGGGCGUCUGCAGACGGCCAGGGAUGGUUUCCAGGCCGACAGUGCAGAGGUGUCGAAGCUGGUGCAGGCCGUCACCCAGUUCGCCCACCUGGUGGGGGACACCAUCGUCCAGGGCAGCGCCACCUCACACAUGGUGCCCGUCGACCAGG